GAAAGUACCCAUCUUAGGGAACUCGGACAGUUUCUCUUCUGUUGAAUUUCUGUCUUUAAGUUGAAUGACUAAAUGUUUCAAAGAGAGUCACAUUUGGAGCCAUAUCUUAAGAGCAGCCUAUUACGGAACCCACUGAGUCUCUGCCCUACCCCACAUAGUCUAUGGGAAUAAUUGUUGAAUUUCAAAGUAUGUUUCAUAACUUGCUCUAAAUUCAGUAAUGGAUUAGGGUGUAGCUUACAUAGAAUUGCUGUAUAUAUUGACAAUACUUGGAGAGCACAGUCAACACAAAUUUUAACCAGAUGCAAAUUUGUGUUUGGGUUACAUCACCUUGGAUAGUGAAAUCAAGUGACAUUAUUUGAUCUAUGUUUUGUCCAUAAAAUUCUUAUUUGGGUUUCUAUCUUCAUCUCCAAAUUAUUUCUGUCAUAUUCUCAUCAGACUAAAAGACUUAAUCAUUUUACUGUCCUCACAGAUGGAAAACAGUUACGUUGGCUGUGCCUCUUUUAAUACUAAUCUCAUGAUAAAAGCAAAACCAAAACACGAUUAGUCAUCUAAUAUGUAGAAAGCUUUUUGUUAUAUUUUAUCAAAGCACCUAAAACCAAUUACAGGGCAUAGUUGAAAGCAGAACCCAUCUUCCUCCCCAGUGUUCUCUGUGGAAAGAACCAGAAAACAAACAUAUGUGCGAAA
rnacentral:lncRNA from 1 species